rnacentral:lncRNA from 1 species
CUGAUUCGAAUCAAACAGCUUGUGAACGCAGUCUGUUCUAGCUAUAAAAAGCAGUGAGUGACUCAGGCUCUUAUUUGUGACCGUAGCAGUUAUGGAGAUUCGUUUCAAAAUAAUAAUGGAGAUAAAAUUAUAGCUGUGAAGAUGACUAAAAGUCUAAAAGAAAAAAGAACUAGGGCCGAGAAGGGGACCACACUCAUAUAAGAAUUUGCAGCACAGAUUGUACAUAAGAGUUUACAAGCAAAAUGGAACGAAUUAUCAGGGCCCACAUACAUAGUAUACAGAAUUACAGGCUGAACCACAGAAGAAAAAUAGCAUCUGUCCAAAAUAGCACCUGUCCCAGUCAUAAUAUUGAUCUCAACUGAAUAUUAAACAUGUUACUGCAAACAUAAAUAAGUUGAGUCCUGGAAAAAUAGGUGUUGGAAUUGAUCUCAGGCAGUUAUUGACUGAGAGAAAAGGGGGAGUCUUUUCCCACGAUGGUGUUCUGAUCGGGCACACCCAGAACCAACGUUUGGUUUCGGUCCCUGGCCCAUCAGCCCCUCUCAUAUAUAAAGAAGAGUCACGUACCUCUUGAGGAGAGUACACACAUAAGUACGAGUUAAACCUCUAAGUCCAACUACCGAUCCUAAAAAGAGGGAGCUGAUGACCAGAAGACCGUCUACCACCGCCAGCCGCCGCAAGGUCUGUGCUGGCGGCGUUCCUGCUACCAUCUGCAUCAUUCAGCUGCUGCCUUUCUCUUCCCCGACAAUCUUCUGUUGCUGGAGAUCACAAGGUGCAGCCAUGGUCUACACAGGGGGCUGCAUCGGGCAGCCGCCAUGGGAUUUCUCCAAGCACCUGUAAGUCCUCACGCUUCCGCAUAAUGCUGUUGAUCUAGUCAGAGAUUAGGCCCUUACGUUGACUACCCUAAGGCUAUUUUUUCCUGACAAUAGGAUCAUACAAAAGUGGUACCUUUGUGUUGCAGGACUUCCUAUACUACCUAAGUAGUCUAACAAACUUCUAACUUAUGUCGGUUUGAUUAAAAAACUUAGAAGUUAUAUCACCAAAGGAAAACAGAUCAGGGGUCUUGGCAGUCACAAUCGACAAACUGGGUGUGCCCUCUACCAUCAUACAGAGAUUAAUGCUUACAUUUGGCAUGUACUGGAGACUCGGAAAGAGGCAGG